AACGCGAAGAACCUUACCUGGGCUCGAAAUGUAGUGGACAAGGGUAGAAAUAUCCUCUUCUCGCAAGAGACCGCUAUAUAGGUGCUGCAUGGCUGUCGUCAGCUCGUGUCGUGAGAUGUUGGGUUAAGUCCCGCAACGAGCGCAACCCUUAUUGCUAGUUGCCAACAUUCAGUUGGGCACUCUAGCGAAACUGCCUCGGAUAACGAGGAGGAAGGUGGGGAUGACGUCAAGUCCUCAUGGCCUUUAUGUCCAGGGCUACACACGUGCUACAAUGGUCGGUACAAACCGCUGCAAACCCGCGAGGGGGAGCCAAUCGGAAAAAGCCGACCCCAGUACGGAUUGGAGUCUGCAACUCGACUCCAUGAAGCUGGAAUCGCUAGUAAUCGCGGAUCAGAACGCCGCGGUGAAUACGUUCCCGGGCCUUGUACACACCGCUACAGU
rnacentral:rRNA from 1 species